UUGCCAGCAGCUAAGGAUUUCUAGAUGAUACUACCAUAGAGAAGGAAACUUCCCUAGUGAAGACUAGCUCUAUGUUUUGGUCUUAUUAAUGGCCUUCCCUCCAUAGUGAGCACAAAGUCAAACUUUCAAACUUUCCCCUUCUGCCAGCUUUUGUUCCAUCUCAGCCCACACUACUGAACAAACCUUGGAGAAGUGUUCACUGUUUCUGAUGUCACAAAGCACAGGAGAAUGUUGCAGUUGACUCUAGAGCCAGGCCUGUCUGCUUACAUAACUUGAAAAGUGGUGUUUGAAUCAAUCAUAGCUGCUUUUAUCAACCAGUCACAGCCUUGCCUUUUAGUAUUUUGUAGUCAUUAGGACUUGUACUUGGGACCAAUUAUGGCCCUGUAUUAUACUCUAGUCUGAGGUGAAAUGAUUCAUAGGGUUAAUAAUCACUAAAUAUCUGGUACAAAUUGUUUCAAACAUGUGUCUUAAGUAUCCAGGUCUGUUGAAAUCUUUAUGAAUAGCUGCAAAGGAUGAAGAGGAAUGAGCUUGAUGUUGUGAAAACCAGGGUAAUAAAGCUGAAACACGGCAACAGUGUGUGGUCUUUCCUCAGAGUGCCUACCUGCUGGAGUAGAAGACCUCAAUGAUCACAGAUUUCUGCUUUUAAUGCUAUGGAGACACCAGGGCACUGUGGAGAUGAUAAAGGAAUAAUGAUGACAUGGCUAAUCCUGAGAUUCACAAGAGAAAAAAUAGUUUCACAACUUUGAACCAGAUUUGAAGCAAGGUUUAAUUAAAUAUUGACCAAGAUAGUCUUCGGUCAGGUCCACUCCCUGGAAUUCCCAGCAGAAUGUCUCUGAUUCACCUGUCGCAGGGGUAUUUAAGGACAAAACCAUUGAACUGCUAUACUUUUCCAGGUAGCUUUGUUCUUUUCUAAGAACUAUGAUUGCCAGCAUUCCAGGAGGUUACUUGGUCCUUGGGCAGGUGAAACUUACAAGAACACUCUUGGG
rnacentral:sRNA from 1 species